rnacentral:rRNA from 1 species
AUUGAACGCUGGCGGCAGGCCUAACACAUGCAAGUCGAACGAGUGGCGGACGGGUGAGUAAUGUCUGGGAAACUGCCUGAUGGAGGGGGAUGACUACUGGAAACGGUAGCUAAUACCGCAUACCAUCGGAUGUGCCCAGAUGGGAUUAGUUAGUAGGUGGGGUACAGGCUCACCUAGGCGACGAUCCCUAGAUGGUGUGAGAGGAUGACCAGCCACACUGGAACGGAAACACGGUCCAGACUCCUACGGUAGGCGGCGGGGGGGAAUAGUGCACUAUGGGCGCAAGCCUGAUGCGACCAUGCCGCGUGUAUUGCGGGGGCCUGCGGGUUGUAGAGGACUUUCAGCGUGGAGGCGUUACCCGCAGAAGAAGCACCGGCUAACUCCGUGCCAGCAGCCGCGGUAAUAC